GCUGGGCACCAUGGUGUACCCUGUGGUCCUAGCUACUCAGGAGGCUGAGGUGGGAGGAUCCCUUGAGCCCAGGAGUUCUACACUGUAAUGCAUUAUGCAGUUUGGGUGUCCACACUAAAUUUAGCAUCAAUAUAGUGAACUCCCAGGACAGGGGACCAUCCAGGUUGUCUAUGGAGGGGUGAAACAGCCCAGGUCAGAAAUGGAGCAGGUCAAAACUCCCAUGCUGGGCUGGUCUGAUGGUAGUGGGUUAUUAGAAUUUAAUAACAUUAGUGUCACUAAAGUUGGUAUACAACCCCCCACUGCUA
ensembl:misc_RNA Metazoa_SRP Metazoan signal recognition particle RNA